AUUGAACGCUGGCGGCAGCUUAACACAUGCAAGUCGAGCGGGGUGAUGGUGCUUGCACUAUCACUUAGCGGCGGACGGGUGAGUAAUGCUUAGGAAUCUGCCUAUUAGUGGGGGACGACAUCUCGAAAGGGAUGCUAAUACCGCAUACGUCCUACGGGAGAAAGCAGGGGAUCACUUGUGACCUUGCGCUAAUAGAUGAGCCCAAGUCGGAUUAGCUAGUUGGUGGGGUAAAGGCCUACCAAGGCGACGAUCUGUAGCGGGUCUGAGAGGAUGAUCCGCCACACUGGGACUGAGACACGGCCCAGACUCCUACGGGAGGCAGCAAUGGGGAAUAUUGGACAAUGGGGGGAACCCUGAUCCAGCCAUGCCGCGUGUGUGAAGAAGGCCUUAUGGUUGUAAAGCACUUUAAGCGAGGAGGAGGCUCUUUUGGUUAAUACCCAAGAUGAGUGGACGUUACUCGCAGAAUAAGCACCGGCUAACUCUGUGCCAGCCGCCGCAGUAA
rnacentral:rRNA from 1 species